CCUGACCCAGCGACGCCGCGUGAGGGAUGAAGGCCUUCGGGUCGUAAACCUCUGUCAGGAGGGAAGAACGGCCGCGAGGUGAACAAUCUCGCAGUCUGACGGUACCUCCGAAGGAAGCGCCGGCUAACUCCGUGCCAGCAGCCGCGGUAAUACGGAGGGCGCAAGCGUUGUUCGGAAUCACUGGGCGUAAAGCGCGUGUAGGCGGCUUGGCAAGUCGGGUGUGAAAUCCCGAGGCUCAACCUCGGAACUGCACUCGAAACUGCCUCGCUCGAGUCCCGGAGAGGGUGGCGGAAUUCCCGGUGUAGGGGUGAAAUCCGUAGAUAUCGGGAGGAACACCAGUGGCGAAGGCGGCCACCUGGACGGUGACUGACGCUGAGACGCGAAAGCGUGGGGAGCAAACAGGAUUAGAUACCCUGGUAGUCCACGCCGUAAACGGUGAGUGCUAGACGUCGCGGGUAUUGACCCCCGCGGUGUCGCAGCUAACGCGUUAAGCACUCCGCCUGGGGAGUACGGCCGCAAGGCUA
rnacentral:rRNA from 1 species